rnacentral:misc_RNA from 1 species
UCCGAGUUGACCCCGGCAGUCUCCUGCGAGUCCCCGCCAUUACGCGCUGGCAACACAGGACAAGGGUUGCGCUCGUUGCGGGACUUAACCCAACAUCUCACGACACGAGCUGACGACAGCCACGCACCACCUGUGUAGGGCCCAAAAGGACACCGUAUCUCUACGGCUUUUCCCUACAUGUCAAGCCCAGGUAAGGUUCUUCGCGUCGCCUCGAAUUAAGCAACAUGCUCCGCUGCUUGUGCGGGCCCCCGUCAAUUCCUUUGAGUUUUAGCCUUGCGGCCGUACUCCCCAGGCGGGGCACUUAAUGCGUUAGCUGCGCCACCCAAGCUCUAUGAGCCCGGACAGCUAGUUAUCAUCGUUUACGGCGUGGACUAC